UACUUAGUGGCAGACGGGUGAGUAACAUGUGGGUAUCUACCCUUUGGCCUGGAAUAACACGAGGAAACUUGUGCUAAUACCGGAUAAGUCUUUACGGAGAAAGCUUUAUGCACCAUUGGAUGAGCCCGCACUUGAUUAGUUUGUUGGUAGGGUAAUGGCCUACCAAGACUAUGAUCAAUAGCUGAUUUGAGAGGAUGAUCAGCCACAUUGGGACUGAGACACGGCCCAAACUCCUACGGGAGGCAGCAGUGGGGAAUCUUGCACAAUGGAGGAAACUCUGAUGCAGCGAUGCCGCGUGAGUGAAGAAGGCCUUUGGGUUGUAAAGCUCUUUCGUCGGGGAAGAAAAUGACUGUACCCGAAUAAGAAGGUCCGGCUAACUUCGUGCCAGCAGCCGCGGUAAUACGAAGGGACCUAGCGUAGUUCGGAAUUACUGGGCUUAAAG
rnacentral:rRNA from 1 species